GACGAACGCUGGCGGCGUGCUUAACACAUGCAAGUCGAACGGUGAAGCGCCUUCCUUUUUGGUGGGUGUGGAUGAGUGGCGAACGGGUGAGUAACACGUGAGUAACCUGCCCCCUUCUUCUGGAUAACCGCAUGAAAGUGUGGCUAAUACGGGAUAUUCUGGGUCUGUCGCAUGAUGGGUCUGGGGAAGUUAUUGUUUCGGUGGGGGAUGGGCUCGCGUCCUAUCAGCUUGUUGGUGGGGUGAUGGCCUACCAAGGCGGUGACGGGUGGCCGGCCUGAGCGUGUGGACGGUCACACUGGUACGGAGACACGGCCCAGCGUCGUACGGGAGGCAGCAGUGGGGAGUAUUGGACAUUGGGAGGGAGCGUGAUGCGGCGGCGCCGCGGGCGUGAUGGAGGCCUUCGGGUUGUGAACCGCUUUCGCCAGUGAAGCAGGCCUGCCUAGUUUGUGGGUGGGUUGACGGUAGCUGGAGAAGAAGCGCCGGCUAACUACGUG
rnacentral:rRNA from 1 species